rnacentral:lncRNA from 10 species
CUUUGACUUACUGAUGAGUAAGAGGACUGAAAAGAAAAGGCACUAUGGUUUGCCCUAUCUUUCUCUUUCCUUCUAUGGUAUCAUUUUCAGUGCAAGUGGUUGACUAAUAGAGGAAGUAACAUGAGUAAUAAAGGAUAUGACAGAGUCCCUUGCUAAUUCUUGUUUCUUAGAAUGUCCUUGCCCUCUUUCUGGCUUGAAUGGAAAAUGUGGCCUCCUGGGACUGUCAGUGGUGUGGUCCCCACAUCCUUAGUUGUACACAUAACAUGCUUACCGUGUGCUUGCUUUGAGUCCCUUCUGAGCUCCCAUGCAAUGUAGACUCAUCGGAAUCCCGUGCUCAUGGGAUUUUAUGAACACUAUAUGCAAAUAGGACAGCAAGAAAUGGCAGUAAACGCUUUUAUUGUUGCUAUCUCCUCUGCUCCUGCACAUGCUCCAUGGUAUCGUUGGACUUCACUUACAAAACACAGAUACAAAGACAAAAUUACUAAGAAUUACCAAGAAUUUUAAUUUCAAGAUGGCAACAGAGUAUUAAACCAAAGAUGAAGUCGUUCUGAGUGUGGGGUUUGCGAGAUGGCACAGGUGGCACUCCCAGGAGCUCGUCUUGGCCAGGUCGCACCCUUGAGUCCAUUGGAACCUGAAUCUCACCCUGCUCUGCUAUGCUAUACUGACUCCAGCUGAAUUCAAGGAGUUACAGUUUGAAACUCUCCAGACUCCAGUGGCCAUCCCACUUGUGAUCACUUGCUCUGAGGGAGGACAUCUGCUGUAUCAUGAGGACGCAAAACCAUCCCAUGGAGGGUGCUACAUGCAGAGCAGCUGAGGCCUCCUGCUAGUUGUCAGUGAGGAACCGAGGCUUCUUGCCAAUGGCCAUGUGAGUGAGCCAUCUUGCAAACAGAUCCCCUAACCCCAGUUAAGCCCUUCAGGCAAACUGCAACGUUGUCAAGUCUUAACUGCAACCUCAUGAGAGACCCUAGGCCAUAGCCACCAGCUAAGCUGCUCUUGAAUUCCUGACUCAGAAACUUUGAGAUCAUGAAUCUUUGUUGUAUUAGGCCUCCAACCUUAGGGGUAAUUGGUUAUGCAGCAAUAGAUAACUAAUAUACCAUUAUUUUCAAGCGGGACUAUAAGCUUGGUACAACCCAAACACCAAAGUAUAUCCAAGAGUUUUCUUGGCCAUGUUAGGAAGUCUCAGAAGACCUCAAAAUGAAAAGCAGACAAGCCUCUACUCAUAGAGUGCACAUUAGGCCGAUAUAAUAUUUAGCUUUUCUAGAUGCUUUAUUUUUUAGGCACUGUACAGUAAAACCAGGGCUUCUUUCCUUGCCUUGAUAAAUGGUGAAUGACAUUGGAUGCCACUCUCACCCCCAUAUGCUCACCAAAGGGAGAAGAAUUGCUCACCUGAUUGGUGGGAGUCAUAGCAAAUGAAAUAGGUCCCUGUGCCACAAUUCUGCCAGACUCAGACCUCACUUGUCAUUUGGAGGAGCAAUUUUGAAUCACAUUCUCCACUGUUCCUUGCAGGCCCCCAGCAGUAGUAACCCGCUGCUAUGCGCAGUGAAAAUCAGCUCAAUUAGACAGCCUUGCGCAUGCUUUCCCCCAUCUCUACUUCACUCCCCUUUCUUUUCCCACUAACUUCCUGUGAUCACCUCUUGAGGACCUUGGUGAGAGCACUGGACCAAACCAAGACAGUUGUUCGGUCUGGUGUUUUGGGGUAGGGCAUGCUUUACAAGUUGGUGAGAUUACCAUCCCCUAAAAAGGGAGGAAGCAGAGAUAUCUCUCCCAACUCUUGCUUCUCUUAUUUGGCAGUCUGACCUAUCAGGCAGGCUAAAUGGCCUAGACUAGUUCAGGCCCUAAGGCAAAAAUGUGUUUUUUUCUUGUUGUCCAUGACAUUAUUUUUUUCUUGUCACUUAGGAGAAUGCUUUAGGCUGGCUUUUUCUUACAGUACCAAUGCUAAGUCUCCACCCUGAGUUUGGAAGUUAAUUAGAAGGAAGAGAAGCAGAGGCAUAUGAAGGAACUAGCAACAUAGAGGUGCCUCAAAUGGGGCUGGGGUGAACUGUAACUACACAAAGGCUGGCAUUAAAAAGUACAGCCCCACAUGAAAGACUGGCCCCAUUGUCCUUAGCAGGUGGUCUGGGCUGCUAGUUUGGCUGUUCAGGGAUAGUUUGUGCCCCUAGGCAAGAGGCAAAUGGUAUUGUGGUUAAGGAUGAAAUUGGAUUAUAAGUAAAGGAGAUUUAUUUCGGAAACAGCUGGAAUUGACAGGGCAGGUUAUUGGGGCUGGCUUUAGCAGCUUUGGGGCCCAGCAAUUUUGAAGUAGCUAUUUUAUCUGUUGAUUUUAGCAGUAUUGACAGUGACCAUUGGGUUUAUCAAGAAUGGAGUCAUCUAGGGAAGAGGCACUUGAGAAAGCAGGUAUCUGAUAUUGAUGAGGAUGGAGGUCAAAGGGGUGUUUUUUGUCUACCUGAGAGUACUGAGGAAGCUUCCCUUCUCCGGAGUCUUCUGGUUGUGUGCAGAGAGGGUGUCACUGUUAACUGAGCCAGCAAAGGCUCAUCCCCAGACAGGCUGUUUCUCAAGUAUGGCUAUAGGCCUUGAGGCUUGAAGCUCCUUCAGGUCUCUAUAGCGUGACAUUUUUGAUGGUGAGGCACUGGCCCGAGUUUUCUCCUCCAUCCUGCCCUGAAGCAGGGGUGAAGAACUGUCAGGUUUUUUAGGGUGUAGGGAGGAACCUUUCAUGUCGUGCCCAUGUAAGUCCAGAGAGGUAGAACUUUCUCCCAACACAUUUAAAAGGGAAAUUCUUACCCUCCAUCUUUUUUGGUAUGUGUGGGAGCCUGCAACUCAGACGACUGUAUUUCCUGGUUGCUUAGUACUAAGGCACUGGAGAUCACUGACUGCUCAGCCAUGGCACAACCUCUUGUCUCUUUUGCUCCCUAGCCCCACCCCACCCUGUGAUCAGGUACAGGGGUGAUGUGCUUGAGCUUCAUGUAGUAUCUCUCAGGUCACUAAGGGGGGGAACUUGACAUUUCCCAUGUCUUUGCCUCUAGCUGACCCUUCUGUGCAGAUUAGCUACAUUUAGCAAGAAAGGAGUAGGAAGCCCCUACUUUGGAUAUGGGCCUUGGUUCUCCAGUCUAACCAUUUCUAGAAAUGGAUGCUGAGAAGUGAAAUUUGAGGCUAUUAUAUAAAUACAAACAUAUGUAACAUACUGCAUGUAUAUUCAUAUACAUAUAUAAUUUUUUCUGAUCAAUUUGAAAGUUGCUGACAGGAUGCUACUUUAUUCCUAAACACUAUAAUGCUACAUACAUAUUUAUUAAAAAGAAGCACAUUCUUUUUCAUAACCACAAGAUAAUUAUCAAAAUCAGGAAAGUAAUAUUGAUGCAUUAUAGCUAUAUUCAAAUCCUCAGGGCUUAUUUGUAUUUUUUCCACAUGUAUUAAUAAUAAUUUAAUGGCAACAGAAAAUUCUGCUUUGCUUUCAGUUGCUGUCCCUGUUUAGGCUGCUUUAAUUUAGUACAGUCCCUCAGUCUUUUUUGUCUAUCAUGACAUUGACAACUGUGAAGAAUGCAUGCCCUGGUUAUUUGAUAGAUGGUCACCCAAGUUGGGUUUGUUUGAUGUUUCCUCUUGAUUAGAUUUAGGUUCUGAGAUUUUGGCAAGAAUAUCACAGACAUGAUAUGUUCUUCUCAGUGCAUGAUAUCAGGGGACAUAUGGUAUCUUAUUUGUCUCAUUUCUGGUGAUGGGAAUUUUGAUCACUUGAUUAAGGUGGUGUCUACCCAGUUUCUUCAAUAAUAAAAUUACUAGUUAGUUAGCUAAUAAUUAAUGAGAAUCUUGUGGAAGGGUACCUUAAGAUUACGUAAGUAUCUUGUUACUCCUUAAACUUCCAGCUGCUAGUUUUAGCAUCUGUUGAAGAUUUUUGCCUAAAUCAAUUGUUAUUAUAAUGGUUACCAAAGAGUGACAUUUUAAUUGACCCCUGGAAUUAUUUCUAUGAUUAUUGGUUGGCUUUCUACUGUAAGAAAGAACAUUUCCUUAUCACCUGUUUUCUUAUUUAUUCAUUCAUUUAUCCAUUUAUGUCAUGAAUUUUAUUUUUUUCUGUGAAUUGUAUUUCUUUUUCUGUGAAUUGUAUUUCUUUACUAUGCUUAUUUAUUUUGAUUUGCAAAUUGUCCAGGUUUGUUCAGUCUAAGCCCUUUCAAGCUGGUUCCUGUGUCUGUUUGACAUAUCUACAUCAUUCUUUUAACACGUUCUCACUUUUCUGGCACAACACCGUAUUCUCAAUUCAUCUUGCAUUUUUCCAGAAUCAGCCAUUUCUCAAAAGGGCUUGAUUCCUUUUAGUGGCAAAUGGCAUUUUGAUUGAUUGCUACAGGGUGCCAUUGUUUCUAGGGCCUGUCAGCAGAGAUAGACAGUAGAUGUAUAUACACACAUACACUCAUAUAUGCAAAUUUAUGUGUAUACGUAUGUAAUAUCCAUGUCUAUAUCUGCAGAUAUACCUCAAAGAUAUUGUACAAUAAAGCGAAUAUUACUAUGAAGCAAGUCACGUAAAUUUUUUGGUUUUCUAAUGCAUAUAAAAAUUUUUUACACUAUACUAUAGUCUCUUGAGUGUGUGAUAGCAUUAUGUCUAAAAAAAGUAUAUACCUUAAUUAAACCAUACUUUAUUGCUAAAAAAUCCUGACAAUCAUCUGAGUCUUCAGUGAGUUGCAAUCUUUUUGCUAAUGGGGAUUCUUGCCUCAUUGUUGAUGGCCGUUUACUGGUAAGGGUGAUUUGUUGCAAGAAUAGGGUGGCUGUGGCAAUUUCUUCAAAUAAGGUAACAAUGGAGUUUGCCACAUUGACUGACUCUUCCUUUCACAAAAGAUUUCUCUGUAGCACACAAUACUGUUUGAUAGCAUUUUACCCACAAAAGAACUUCUUUCAAAAUUGGAGUCACGCCUCUCAAACCCUGACACUGCUUUAUCAACUAAGAUUAUGUAAUAUUCUAAAUUCUUUGUUUGAUUUCAACAAUGUUCACAGCAUCUCAUCAGGAGUAAAUGUCAUAUCAAUAAACCACUUUAUUUGUUUAUCCAUAAGAAGCAACUCCUCAUCCAUUCAAGCUUGAUCCAUUCAAGUUUGAGAUUGCAGCAAUUCAAAUCUUCAGGUUCUACAUCUAACUCUAGUUCUCUUGCUGUUUCCACCAAAUCUUCAAUUACUUCCUCCACCUAAGUCUUAAACUCCUCCUCAAAGUCAUCCAUGAGGGUUUGGAAUCAGUUCUUCCAAACUCCUGUUAAGGUUGCUAUUUUGACCUUUUCCCAUGAACCACAAAUGUUGUUAAUGGCAUCUAGAAUGGCGACUUUUUGCCAGAAGGUUUUUGAUUUACUUUGCCCAGAUUCAUCACAGGAAUCACUAUCUAUGACUCAGCUAUCUCCUUACAAAAUUAUUUCUUAAAUAAUCUUUAAAUUUAAAAUGACUCCUUAAGCCAUGGGCUGCAGAAUGCAUGUUGUGUAGGCAGGCAUGAAAACAGCAUUAAUCUUUUCUUACAUCUCCAUCAGAGCUCUUGUGUGACCAGGUACAUUUUCAGUGUGCAUUAAUAUUUAGAAAGGAAUCUUUUUUUUCUGAGCAGGAAGUCUCAACAGUGGGCUUAAAAUGUACAGUAAACCAUGCUGUAAACAGACUCGUUGUCAUCCAGGUGGUGUUGUUACAUUUAUAGAGCACAGGCAGAGCAGAUUAACAUAACUUUUAAGGGACCUGGAAUUUUCAGAAUGGUCAAUGAGCAUUGGCUUCAACUUUAAGUCACCAGCUGCAUUAGCCCCUA